AAUGCUGCCGGUUGUAGCUGGGGUAUUUAGUGUUGGUAUGGGUGUGUUUGUUCUUAUCAGUUUGAUCGCUGAUAUGUUGACUAUAUGUCAACAUUCGAUCAAAUGUAUUUUUGCUCGUUGGAGAGUGGCUCGAAGCUUGCUUCACCCUCUCCAUGGAUCACCCUGGUAUUGCAGUUCUUCCAGGUGUGGUCCAUUUCCC